AGGCUAGCUUGCUAGCGCUGACGAGUGGCGGACGGGUGCGUAACGCGUAGGAAUCUGCCUAUUAGUGGGGGACAACAUGGUAGAAAACCAUGCUAAUACCGCAUACGCCCGUACGGGGGAAAGCGGGGGAUCUUCGGACCUCGCGCUAAUAGAUGAGCCUGCGUUAGAUUAGCUUGUUGGUGGGGUAAAGGCCUACCAAGGCGACGAUCUAUAGCUGUUCUGAGAGGAAGAUCAGCCACACUGGGACUGAGACACGGCCCAGACUCC
rnacentral:rRNA from 2 species